UACGGUGAAUACGUUCCCGGGCCUUGCACACACCGCCCGUCAAGCCAUGGAAGCCGGGUGUACCUAAAGUCGGUAACCGUAAGGAGCCGCCUAGGGUAAAACUGGUGACUGGGGCU
rnacentral:rRNA from 1 species